GGUGAACGCUGGCGGCGUGCCUAAUACAUGCAAGUCGAGCGAACAGACGAGGAGCUUGCUCCUCUGACGUUAGCGGCGGACGGGUGAGUAACACGUGGAUAACCUACCUAUAAGACUGGGAUAACUUCAGGAAACCGGAGCUAAUACCGGAUAAUAUAUUGAACCGCAUGGUUCAAUAGUGAAAGACGGUUUUGCUGUCACUUAUAGAUGGAUCCGCGCCGCAUUAGCUAGUUGGUAAGGUAACGGCUUACCAAGGCAACGAUGCGUAGCCGACCUGAGAGGGUGAUCGGCCACACUGGAACUGAGACACGGUCCAGACUCCUACGGGAGGCAGCAGUAGGGAAUCUUCCGCAAUGGGCGAAAGCCUGACGGAGCAACGCCGCGUGAGUGAUGAAGGUCUUCGGAUCGUAAAACUCUGUUAUUAGGGAAGAACAAAUGUGUAAGUAACUAUGCACGUCUUGACGGUACCUAAUCAGAAAGCCACGGCUAGCUACGUG
rnacentral:rRNA from 1 species